AAUUAAUGUUUUCGAUGGCUCCAUCAGAAUUGUUGUCACUGUUCUCGGUUUCGCAACAGAUGCCGCUGUUUCGCAACCUAUCGAGAGCUGAGGAAGUAACAUAACUCCUCAGCUGCAUACAUCGGGACAUGACUUACAGUGGCCGAAGAGGAAUGUGAUACAACUAGACGGCAUAUAUGUGCUUCAGCUGAAUUUGUCAUCUCUAAAUCUCUACAUGUCUGAGAACAACCAUGGAGAGGAACACUACAGAGGAGCUGUUGGAAUCGCAGAGGAGAUUGGCAAGCUUUGUCUCUUUUUCACAUGUAAGUACUAUUAUGGUUAAAUUUGAAUAUAGGUACCUCUGCUUAUGGAACAAAAUAGUAUAUUACAGUUCAUGAUCGAGCUUAAUGUGAAAAUGGGGAUUUGGAAGAAAGCUUUAGUACUUUUUCUCAGACAUUCAAGCUUUAGUACCAAAAUGUAGUGGAAAGCCAUUCAAGCUCCAAUUUCGUACCUUCAUGUAGUCCCUUAACUGAGAAAUCUUGCUUUCCACGAAACUUUCUUUGACUUUUGUAAGAUCCAUAUCUCGAAAAUCGUGUAAGAUUUCAUAGAUUAUCUCCAAUAAUUUUGAACGGUCUUUCAUCGACGUUGCCACACAAUUCUUAGAAAUAUCUCAAUGCUUGCCGAUAAUUUUUCGAAAAUCGUGCAUGAAUUCUGGCUUCACUUCAUAUCCAUAAACCACCGUGUCUUCAGGCUGGCUUUGUUAGAAAUGAAGUGGUUGCCAUGUUGAGAAAUGACGAUGGUGAUGGGUUCAUUCAGAAGUACAAAGCUAGCCUGAAGACACGAUUCAUAGAUAUGAAGUGCAGCAAGAAUUCAUGCCUAUAUUAAGAAAAAUUAUCUUCAAUCAUGGUGAUAUUUCUAAUUAUUGUGUGGCAAGGUCGGUGAAAGACCGUUCAAAAUUAUUGGAGAUAAUCAGUGAAAUCUUACACGAUUUUUGAGAUAUGGAUCUUACAAAAGACAAAGAAAGUUUCGUGGAAAGCAAGAUUUCUCUUGUUAAGGGACUACAUGAAUGUACGAAAUUGGAGCUUGAAUGGCUUUCCACGAGUCUAGCUGAGGUACUUGGCGCAAUUAAAAUUCUGGAUAAAUUUGAUAUUCUAGAAGAGAAAAGAGACAAUAAUAGCAAGCUCCUUGAAGAUGCUGAGAGUGAAUCGGAAGUUUUUCAAGAACAGCAGAAAGUAGUGACAGAGAAAUGAAGGAAUUGUCAGAGAAGAUGAGAGAAUUGUUAGUGAAUUUGGAAGAUAUAUGCGUUAAAGAGACUGCUUGCAAAGAAAGAUUGACCGCAGCAAAGAAUGAGUCUACCUCGAUAUCUCAAACAAACCGGAACGGAUAUUUGAUGGAUUGAGUCUUGGAGCAAAAGAAAGGGAUUUGGAGUUGAUUCGGU